UCGAGAAUUUUUUUCAAUGGGGGAAACCCUGAAGGAGCGACGCCGCGUGGAGGAUGAAGGUUUUCGGAUUGUAAACUCCUGUCAUCCGGGAGCAAUGCUAUGUUGUUAACUGCGAUAUAGUUGAUAGUACCGGAAGAGGAAGAGACGGCUAACUCUGUGCCAGCAGCCGCGGUAAUACAGAGGUCUCAAGCGUUGUUCGGAUUUAUUGGGCGUAAAGGGUGCGUAGGCGGCGAGGUAAGUCUGGUGUGAAAUCCUGGGGCUCAACCCCAGAAUUGCACUGGAUACUGCUUUGCUAGAGGACUGGAGAGGAGAUUGGAAUUCACGGUGUAGCAGUGAAAUGCGUAGAUAUCGUGAGGAAGACCAGUGGCGAAGGCGAAUCUCUGGACAGUUCCUGACGCUGAGGCACGAAGGCUAGGGGAGCAAACGG
rnacentral:rRNA from 1 species